CAGACAAAACAAACAAACCACACACACACCUGAAUUUCUCUCUCUCGUUCACCCUUUCUGGCGACACUCAAACCGGCGGAGCCGCGGCGGCGGUACGGCGGCGCCAUCGCCGGCGGCGGAGCUCCGGUGACCGAUUUCCGGCGCGUCACGGCGCGUGCGCCCCUCAUUUUCUCCGAUCUACCCUCUAACCCCUGUUCCGGUGUUGGUUUGCGGAUUCGAGCGGCGGAGACGACCACCUUCUUCUCCGGUGGUCUCCUCUGACGAGCACAGCCCCCCUCUCUAAUAUCGGCCGACCACCACUUAUUUGUUGGCGGCGGACGUGUACAGCGACAACCCCCACCACCACAGGCGGCAGCACUGUGGUGGGUGGUGCCAGGCGGUGACAAGAGACGAAGAGAGAGUGAAAGGAUGGUGGUGGUGAGCGGCGGUCGAGUCUCGGACCGGUGGUUCGAGUCUCAGACCGGUGGUUCAUGUCAAGGACCGACGGUCUUUGUUUUUGACCGUCGGGUUUCGUCGAUAAACUUUCCUCCUCUGCUUAUUUCUUUUACAUUCUUUUUUGUUUCUGAAGUUGAUGUUGUUGUCCAGUUGGGUUUGAGUUCGGGUUCACGAUUAGCGGGUUCGGGUCUCAGUCAGCAGGAGAUCGGUAAUGUUUUUGGGGUUUCGGACUAGUAGGUUCGGGUUCAACAUCAGUUUCAAGAUUUAUUUGGGUUGUUUCGGGUCCGUGUGAUGUUCAGUUUCAGGUCACGGUUGGUUCAACUCGGUUUGACUCGGUCAAACCAAGUCAACUCAGUCAUCUCGGGUCAACAGCAAAUUGGCGGUGGUCAAGACGGUUCGGUUCAUGGUUCGGGUUGAUUCGGUCAAACCGAGUCAACUCGGUCAAACCUGGUCAACUCAGUGAGUCAACUCAGUCAGCCCGGUUGACUCGGUCAACUCAGUCAACGAAAGCGGUGCGAAAGACUUGGAAUAUUGUAGAAUGCACGCUAGCAAGUCAAGUCUUGGAAACGACAUCACGAAGUCGUAAUUAGCUAGCUUUGCACAGGAAUAUUCAGAAAUCGUGGCAUGGUUGGAAUAGGAGAACCAUGUGGAGUCGAGUGCUUAGUGGCAUUCAUUUUCUAAAAGACUUAGAUUAUUUGCUUCCGCUGUGCAAUGAAGAUACCAGUCCAGUCACGCCAGCUCUGAUAAUUUCGGGGUGUGACACUUGGAACUAGGGUUAGGUUUGAAGUGGUGAGUAUGUCUACAGUGUAUAGUACGAUCUUCAUUUAUAGGCACAUAAAUCUUAAUAACUUCAAUGAUCGAAGGUAUGGCAUUCGAUAUUUCUUGAGCUAUUAUAUUUUCUAUAGUGCUCCUAUCCAAAGAGUUUCCAUUA